GACAGCAGGAGCCCACCCCUUUACCCCUGCCCCCCACCCCACUGGCACCGCUCCUUGGAACCCCGCACCGCCCCCCACCAGCCCCAGGAAAGCCUGCAGGCAGGGGGGGCGGCUCCGUCGCGAGCUACAGGGGUCUCCACGGAGAGCAGAGAUCCCUUGAAUGGGGAAGCCGGAGCCUAGAGAGGGAAGAGACUCACCCAGAUCGCUUGUCAAAACUGUGGCCUGAGUAAGGGACCGAGGGAACAGGAAGUAGGAUUGGCAGGCCCAGAAGGAGCACAGCCUUGCCGACAUAUUGAAUUUAGAGACCCAUGGCAGACUUCUGAGCUCUGGAACGGAAGG